rnacentral:rRNA from 1 species
AACGAACGCUGGCGGUAGGCCUAGCACAUGCAAGUCGGACGCUCCAGCAAUGGAGAGUGGCAGACGGGUGAGUAACGCGUGGGAAUUUUCCCAGUGGUACGGAAUAGCUCAGGGAAACUUGGGGUAAUACCGUAUACGCCCUUCGGGGGAAAGAUUUAUCGCCAUUGGAUGAGCCCGCGUUGGAUUAGCUAGUUGGUGAGGUAAUGGCUCACCAAGGCGACGAUCCAUAGCUGGUCUGAGAGGAUGACCAGCCACACUGGGACUGAGACACGGCCCAGACUCCUACGGGAGGCAGCAGUGGGGAAUAUUGGACAAUGGGCGCAAGCCUGAUCCAGCCAUGCCGCGUGAGUGACGAAGGUCUUCGGAUUGUAAAGCUCUUUUGGCGGGGACGAUAAUGACGGUACCCGCAGAAUAAGCCCCGGCUAACUUCGUGCCAGCCGCCGCCGCAGUAA